GUUAGGAAUAUUGGACAAUGGGCGCAAGUCUGAUCCAGCCAUGCCGCGUGAGUGAUGAAGGCCUUCGGGUUGUAAAGCUCUUUAGUCCACGAAUAUAAUGACUGUAGUGGAAGAAUAAGCCCCGGCUAACUUCGUGCCAGCAGCCGCGGUAAUACGAAGGGGGCGAGCGUUAUUCGGAAUCACUGGGCGUAAAGCGUGCGUAGGCUGUUUUGUAAGUCAGAAGUGAAAGCCCAGGGCUUAACCCUGGAAUUGCUUUUGAAACUACAAGACUCGAAUUCGGGAGAGGAUAGCGGAAUUGUCAGUGUAGCAGUGAAAUGCGUAGAUAUUGACAGGAACACCAGUGGCGCAAGCGGCUAUCUGGACCGAUAUUGACGCUGAGGCACGAAAGCGUGGGGAGCAAACAGGAUUAGAAACCCGGGUAGUCC
rnacentral:rRNA from 1 species